UUUCAAAUGGAGUGGGGAAGAAGGACAAAAAAAGCCCCAAAAAUGACCCCAUCCAACUUUUUUUCACUCAAACUCAGGCUUUGCUCGUCUUUGAUGACUCUGUAGGCAGGCUUUCAGUGUGAAAGGUGAUGUAAUAUAACUUCAUGUCUCAUAAUAUUAUUGAUGUCGAGUGAUCAGAAUACUACAUAUACAUUUCUUUUAAGAUUUUUGACUAAUAAUAGGCUGUAGGCAACCAUAAAACAGUGAUCAUGCAUAAAUUAAUUAUCUUUUUAAAAAGUAUAUGUAGUGAGGGAACGACAUUCGGACCACAAUAUAGUAAGGGAUAUAAUGCUACAAGACCGUAGCAUGUAGCUGUUCUCAAACCUGAUUAGAUGUUAAUCGAGGCUAGUUAUAGUUACUUUGAAUGGGGACACAUCACAUUUUACUCAACACAUUUACUGAAAAUCUCAAGCAUUUUCAAGUCAUCAGACAAAAGUCUGAGUCAAGUCCCAAGUCAUUUAUGUCAAAGAUCAAGUCGAUUGUGACUUCAAUCCACACCUCUGCUCCUGCCUGCCAAAAGUAACCUGAGAACUAACAAACAAAAAUAUAGCAAUUUGUAUCUUUCGGCUUUUUCCUGAUUACAGAGUCGCCACAGCGGAUCUUUUUGUGAUGCACAUACUGAUUUUUGGCUUUAGCCUUUGAAUUCCAGAUGGCCUUCCUGAGGAAUACCGAUGAUGCUUACAAGUGGAGAUUCGAACCCGAGGCAUCUGCUCCAAAGUCCAGAACGCUAACCACUACCCCACAGCAAACAGGCGGAUAUUGGAGGACCUCAGACCCAUGAGCACAGCCCACUUAGGGAAUUCAUAUCAAUACCAACAAGGUGGAACCGCAAUCCUAAGUACCCUCACCUUGGUCAGGCAAUAAUCCAGUGCUGUGACACAAGCUGUGCUAGAUCGAUUCGGCCGUAAUGGCUGAGAAUGGAUCUGGGACUUUGGUGAAGAGCGCUUGUUUCACUAAAGACGCUGCUGCCUGAACAAGCUGAUGCUGAACCACUGCAUCUUUAUACAUUCAUGGAUACAUGCUGACCUUUCCCAGUGGCUGCAGACGUUGGGGUCAUCGGGGUUGAGAGUCCACACACGAGCGAUCAAGCCCAAAACAAGGAGCAGGGCUGGCACAGCAACAAGUGACCCCAUGACUCAAUCUGGAAACAUAACAUACAUUUACACAUGAAUGGAUCUGCGUAUAGUAUCACAUCAUAACAUCAUCAGAAA